rnacentral:rRNA from 1 species
AACGAACGCUGGCGGCAUGCCUAACAUAUGCAGGUCGAACGAGAACGGAAUAUAGCUUGCUAUAUUUGUCAGCUAAGUGGCGCACGGGUGAGUAAUGUAUAGAUAACCUGCCCUUAAGAAAGGAAUAACAGUUGGAAACGACUGCUAAUGCCCUAUAUGCCUUUAAUACAUAAGUAUGCAAGGGAAACGCUUUAGUGCUUAAGGAUGGGUCUGUAUGGUAUCAGCUUGUUGGUGAGGUAAUGGCUCACCAAGGCUAUGACGCCUAACUGGUUUGAGAGGAUGAUCAGUCACACUGGAACUGAGACACGGUCCAGACUCCUACGGGAGGCAGCAGUGGGGAAUAUUGCACAAUGGACGAAAGUCUGAUGCAGCAACGCCGCGUGGAGGAUGACACAUUUCGGUGCGUAAACUCCUUUUAUAUAGGAAGAUAAUGACGGUACUAUAUGAAUAAGCACCGGCUAACUCCGUGCCAGCCGCCGCCGUAA